rnacentral:rRNA from 1 species
UACGGGGGGAGCAAGCGUUGUUCGGAUUUACUGGGCGUAAAGGGCGCGUAGGCGGUCAGCACAAGUCAGUUGUGAAAUCUCCGGGCUUAACUCGGAAAGGUCAACUGAUACUGUGCGACUAGAGUGCAGAAGGGGCAACUGGAAUUCUCGGUGUAGCGGUGAAAAUGCGUAGAUAUCGAGAGGAACACCAGUGGCGAAGGCGAGUCUCUGGACACUUCCUGACGCUGAGGCACGGAAAGCCAGGGGAGCAAACGGG